rnacentral:rRNA from 1 species
UACGUAGGGGGCAAGCGUUGUCCGGAAUUAUUGGGCGUAAAGCGCGCGCAGGUGGUUCUUUAAGUCUGAUGUGAAAGCCCACGGCUCAACCGUGGAGGGUCAUUGGAAACUGGGGAACUUGAGUGCAGAAGAGGAUAGUGGAAUUCCAAGUGUAGCGGUGAAAUGCGUAGAGAUUUGGAGGAACACCAGUGGCGAAGGCGACUAUCUGGUCUGUAACUGACACUGAGGCGCGAAAGCGUGGGGAGCA